GGGUAUAGCUCAGUGGUGGAGUGUGUGCUUAGCAUGCACGAGGUCCUGGGUUCAAUUCCCAGUACCUCCA
rnacentral:tRNA from 1 species